UCGAGGCGCCGCUGGGCUCGGGCACCGUGCUCACCCGCCACUCCAUGGACAUGAAGUUCACCUACUGCGACGACAGGAUCGGGGAGGUGGCCGGGUACCACCCCGAGGAGCUCCUGGGCUGUUCCCUCUACGAGUUCGUCCACGCGCUCGACUCCAACACCCUGAGCCGCAGCGUGCACACCCUGCUCAGCAAGGGCCAGGCUGUCACCAGCCAGUACCGGUU